UACGGGGGGAGCAAGCGUUGUUCGGAUUUACUGGGCGUAAAGGGCGCGUAGGCGGCCAGCGCAAGUCAGUUGUGAAAUCUCCAGGCUUAACUCGGAAAGGUCAACUGAUACUGCGCGGCUAGAGUGCAGAAGGGGCAAUCGGAAUUCUCGGUGUAGCGGUGAAAUGCGUAGAUAUCGAGAGGAACACCUGAGGUGAAGACGGGUUGCUGGGCCGACACUGACGCUGACAGCGCGAAAGCCAGGGGAGCAAACGGG
rnacentral:rRNA from 1 species